UACCAUAACACUGUAACUAUGGAGACGUGGUUAAGGCACAGCAGCCAUGCUGCUGAAAGUACAGAUGGACAAAUGAAAAAGAAAACAAAACAAGUGGCGACGAAGGCCAGAAAGUACAUGGAAGAAUAUGUUUUAAAGGGAUUUACGUCCACGAGCUCUGACCCACCCCAGGCACUGUGGGGUUUUUUUUGCCGGCAGAAGUUAGCCAACGCUAGCAUGAAGCUAGCGCUCCUCCAGCGGCAUCUCACCACAAAACAUGGAUGUCACGUUGGUAAGGCACCAGAGUUCUUCAGGAGAAAACUUUCUGAUUUCAAGUCAUCCCAAGCCACAAUUAAAUGAUUAACGAUUUUUGUAAUGAUCACAUUAAAAAAUGUGCCUCUGUCUAAUAAUGACACCGUUUGCUGCAGAAUAGAUUGAUAUCAUGGGCACAGACAUUAUCGAACAAGUUGUGGGGGAAACUUGGCGACUCAUUUUCACUGCAGCUGGAUGAAAACACAGAUAAACGCUAUCAGCUGGAAAUCCUGCAGCAGCGUCUGGACAGAUGCGGCUGCAUCAAUGACGGGCAGCGCGAAAGGCCUCAUAGCACGGAUCAUUAAAAAAGAAAAUCCCGACAUCAAGUGGACGCACUGUGUGUGAUACACAGGGCAGUGCUGGCGUCCAAGAAAAUGAGCCCUGUGUAUCACGAUGUUUUGAACGACAGCAUUAAAGUUCUAAACUUUAUCAAGUCAAGGCCACUUAAUGCACGUUUGUUCCGCAGCCUCUGUGAAAAUACGGGAGCUUGCAAAGCUUUGCUAUCUGGCAGAUAUAUUCAGGAAACUGAAUGAACUGAACAUGUCCCUGCAGGGCAAGGACACCAGCAUCCUGAACCUGUAUGACAAGGUGGGUGGUUUCCUGAAGAAAGCAGAGAUGUGGAAAAGGGCACGUGAUCAGGAGGAUUUCACCUGCUUUCCUCAGUUGGAUGUGUUUCUCUCAAAUGAGGAUGUGGCGACAGCUCCGGUGAAGUUAGUCACAGUGGGACAUUUGGCUAACUUGCUCAGUGGUUUUCACUCCUACUUUACUGACAUUGAUGAGAAAUCUGUGCAGCUGGAUUGGGUGAGAAACCCAUUUCUCUUGUCUGAAGCAAACAGAAGCAAGCUUCACUGUCACUCAUCAGGAAAAACUGAUGGAAGUAGCAUCUGACCGUGGCCUGCAGAUGAAGUUUGGUGCAUCCACUCUCACACAGUUUUGGCUGUGUGUGAGGCAGGAGCACCCUGAGCUGGGACAGAAAGCUUUGGAGCAGCUGCUACCGUUUGCAUUAGGGCUGGGAAUCACUGGGUACCUCACGAUACGAUACGAUUAAAUACGAUUUUUGUUAUUCAUGUAUAUUUCUUAUUUUAUGUAUUAUUAACAGCAUUUUUACAUUUGAGUUUUGACUGGUUUUAUGCCUUCUGGUGGUCAACGUCUUCUGUUUUUCUUUUUUGUUUGUACAUGCAAUGUUUGCCAUCUGAAUCUUUUUGUCUGGUUCACUGUUGUUUGGCUUGAAUAAAUCUGACUUUACAGCACUGUACCUCCUUUUUCUUCCAAAAAUGUUUUGCCCAUGUCAGGGGGUACUUGACUAAAAAUAUAUUUCUAAAGGAGUACAACACAGAAGGAAGUUUGAGAACCACUAGUCUAACAGACAACAUCAAUGCCCAAAUGAUGUCACCAAUGGCAGUCUGCACCUGGGUCGGGUUCACCAUUUUGCUGAUUCCUGCCAGUGAAUCCAAUUCAGGUUCGUUGAGAAAAACAAUGACUGUUAUUCUGUUGAGGAUAGUUUUUCCUAUAGUUGUAGAGUUGACCUUACUCCUUUAUUCGGGCUUGGGACCGGCAAAGUGAUUGUAAAGUCACUCUGGUAGAGUUCAUUUUUCUUUUUUUUUCUUUCCAAAGACUAUAGAAUUUUCCGGACAAUAGCUAUACUUGUCGGUGUUUACAAUGACUUUAUAAAGCCAUUGGUGACAUCAUUUGACCUUGAUGAUGUGUGUUAGAGCAUACGUCAUGUUGUUGAUUGGUUGUUGUUGUUUUUUUAAUCAUUGGGAGUGAAUUUUAAUUUUCAUGAAAACAAAAGUUGAUAACGAAGAAGCCACACAGUGAUCACAGAGGCCCAUGUCAAUAUUAUAAAGACAUUUGGGAUAUUUUUGGAUCUGGCAGCGACUGAUCUAGAAUUUAGCAGAGAUUAAUCUUCUUUUUUUUUUAAUCAAAACCUCAAUUUUUAAGUUAUUUUUUAAUUUAGUGCUCAUAAUUUUUAUUUCUGGAAACAUGUAUGAAAUAUUGUUCAGUUUGUUUGUCUAUUUGUCUUUAAUUGCUCCCAGAGCAGAUGCUUUUUAUUGAGCUAUGGGAGACGCACAGAUGUAGUUUCAGACUGUUUUUAACGUAAACAAAGGCUGUAAUUCUCAGAAAUAAUGUUAAUACAUUGCCAACAACGUAGAAGUUUUCUGAGGAAUUCACAAUAAAGUGACUUGAUUGAUUUUUUUUCUAAACUCAACAGC